UACGUAGGGUGCGAGCGUUAAUCGGAAUUACUGGGCGUAAAGCGUGCGCAGGCGGUUCGUCGUGUCCGAUGUGAAAGCCCCGGGCUCAACCUGGGAAUGGCAUUGGAAACGGGCGGGCUUGAGUGUGGCAGAGGGGGGUGGAAUUCCGCGUGUAGCAGUGAAAUGCGUAGAGAUGCGGAGGAACACCGAUGGCGAAGGCAGCCCCCUGGGCUGACACUGACGCUCAGGCACGAAAGCGUGGGGAGCAAACAGG
rnacentral:rRNA from 1 species